rnacentral:rRNA from 1 species
AUGCAAGUCGAACGAAGGCUUCGCCCUUAGUGGCGCUCGGGUGCGUAACGCGUGGGAAUCUGCCCUUGGGUUCGGAAUAACGGUGGGAAACUACCGCUAAUACCGGAUGAUGACGUAAGUCCAAAGAUUUAUCGCCCAAGGAUGAGCCCGCGUAGGAUUAGCUAGUUGGUGGGGUAAAGGCCUACCAAGGCGACGAUCCUUAGCUGGUCUGAGAGGAUGAUCAGCCACACUGGGACUGAGACACGGCCCAGACUCCUACGGGAGGCAGCAGUGGGGAAUAUUGGACAAUGGGCGAAAGCCUGAUCCAGCAAUGCCGCGUGAGUGAUGAAGGCCUUAGGGUUGUAAAGCUCUUUUACCCGGGAAGAUAAUGACUGUACCGGGAGAAUAAGCCCCGGCUAACUCCGUGCCAGCAGCCGCGGUAAU